CGACUCUGGUUUCUCUUCAGAUCGUAUAAAUCUUUCAUCUUUUACUAAAGAUUUCCGUGGCAAGGAACAAUUCGGUAUCAUAACCCAAUUUUUUGAGGCGCUACUGGGCAUGAUAGCACA
rnacentral:snRNA from 1 species